UACGUAGGGGGCUAGCGUUGUCCGGAAUCAUUGGGCGUAAAGAGCGUGUAGGCGGUCCGGUAAGUCCGCUGUGAAAGCCCCGGGCUUAACCUGGGAAUGGCCAUGGAAACUGGCGAGCUGGAGUGUGGCAGAGGGGGGUGGAAUUCCGCGUGUAGCAGUGAAAUGCGUAGAGAUGCGGAGGAACACCGAUGGCGAAGGCAGCCCCGUGGGCUAACACUGACGCUCAGGCACGAAAGCGUGGGGAGCAAACAGG
rnacentral:rRNA from 1 species